GCAGAAUAAUUUUUUUUUUAUUUCCAUCCAUUUAUUCCCUGAAUCGCAACCUUUACAAUUCUUCUUGUUACUAGAAUCAUAUUUAUUCUCAUUUCAGAAUAAACAUUAUUUAUCCAUUCCACAUUUUAAACUAUACAUAACUACCAAUUACAUUUGACAAAACUAUCAAUCAUAAAUUUAUACCAUUUCUAAUUCAAGGAAAUGUAUUCAUUUUGCAUAUCGUUCAAUCUUCAUCAUCCGUAUAGCAAGUAAUAUUGC
rnacentral:lncRNA from 1 species